AAUUGCAUCUUGCCCUGUACCAAGUAAGGCUUUGUGGUAUUCUGCUCAGCUAUGGCUGUCCAAACAGUGGUAAGUCUAACAGCACAAGGCCCUUUAUGAUGUGGGGACAACUCUUCUGUCUGUGCUCAGUGCUUGGGCAGACUGCUGUGGUGCUCUGUGAGACAGCAGGAGGAAAAAAGAGUUGCUGGGAUUACGAAAACUGUAUAGAGAAACAGGGGAUUUGGGCAUUCAAGCAUCCAGAGACCAGACAAUGUGUUUGAAGAGAGAGUGAGUAGAAGCAAGAGGUAGUACAGCAGCAGGCUGAAUGCCGCCGACUGGGAACAGCAGUGUGGAUCACGGUUCUUUGAAAAAGUUGCAUCUUUUUGAUAAUUAAAUAGAUUAAAAGUAAAUGGAAACAAUAAAUAUUAGAUAAAAUCAGCUUAAGUCUGAGGAAGUUGUGACGUAGUGAAAUGGGACUUCAGGAAGUACAUUGAUAAAAAUGUGUUCUAUUGGCAGUCUUUCACUCAAGUCAUCAGAGCCUCCCAUUAUUUUUCCACUGGAAACAAAGAUGGUAAAGGCUCUGAUUGUGCUGUUACAAUGCUAAUUAAAUAUCAAGGAAAUCAACAGACUUGAAGAGGUGUGAUCAGCCAAACCUAGAAUCUGACAAAUAACUUAGACAAACUGCUCAGUUCAUUGGUAGUUCUAAUUUUCAUUGACUGUUGCUUAUAAAUAUAAAGUGUGGAUUUUUAAUAUUUCUUAUUUCCUAAGGAAGGUUAUUUAUGUGCUAGCCUAAACUGUCAGCUUGCUUUGCAUAAAAAUAGCCUAGGUCUUUGUAAAACUGUCUUGAAAAAUUUGUCUUCAUGCCACUUUCCAGCAUUGUGAAUGCCAGGUUUUGACACUUUUCCUGACUGUUUUCUAACCGCCUUACUUCUCUUUGACUCCUUCAUGCACUGGCCUGUUACCAGCACCAGGGCUGAAGUUCACACAGCAGGAGGCGGUUACCCCAAGGUGCACAGGAGAAAGAAUUGUCCCAGCAGUUACCUUGGUUGCGCAGUAUUUGGGAACAAACUGUGCCCUUGUGAGGAGCAUCGGGCAAUAUGCUGUUACAGCUAAAACGGGCUCAGAUGAAGACAAUUCUGAAUAUAUGGGAAUGUAAUACUUGUUGGCAUGAGAUAUAAUGGCAAACAUUUUGCUUCACUCUGUAAGAGUUCGACAUCUGGCAAAAUCAGAAGAAGGACAUCCCAGCACAAUUCAAGAGUGGUGGUUCCUGCUGCUUUGGAAGUAGCUGUCCAGGCUUGAAAGACCAAAACUGUGUAUAUAUGUGUAUAUAUAUAUAUUUUAUUUUUUUUCUCGUAUAGAGAAAACAAACACAGACAUUGACCUGAAAACAUAAUUGUGAUAGCAUAGAAUGACUUCUAUACAGGUAUGUGUGAAGAAGGAUCUUAGCUGAAAUUACUCUUUCAGUUGAAACGUGGUUAUUGCAGUUAACUAGAGAUAUUUAUAUUGUCAAUAUGAACUAAGUAAGUUUGUCUUCAGCUACCUUAAUGCUAAGCUUUAUUUUUAAUAGUUUUUUUUUUAAGUCUGACUCUUUGAUUUCACUGUAAUAGAACAGGAGUUUGAAUAUGGUAAGGGAUCACCCAAGAUCUAGUAACUUAGUACAUUAGUAGAAGGCAAAAAGAAUAAAUAAAUAAAUGGAAAGCUUGGAGAGUAAAAUUUAAUUGACGUGACCUGAGAAAUGUAUAGGGCUUCCAAAAGCCUUGAAAGUUGAAGUUGCUUGACAAUAUUUUAAUGAAAUAUUACUUUGAUUAAAUAUUUCCUUGAUUAAAUUAGUGUAUUAAGUCCUCCUAUGAAAGGGGAUGGGAGGAGAGAGUUGGCAACAGAACCUGACAAAUUGAGUUAAAAACAGAGGAAAAAAUCUGGAAGGGUAAAAUCUCAAGCUUUGGGGGACUUUUAAUGAAAACUGUAGCCUCCUGGUAAACUGUGAGAUGGUAGCUGCCUUCCAGAGAAGCAUUUCCUGGUGAGCUUUGUUGAACAUGUUCAACAAGACUCACUGAACAUUGAACACUUGUAGGGCCAUGAUAUCCUAGCAUGGUUAGGAAAGAGAAUCUACCCUAAUGAUAGAAAAAGUAUUCAAAAGUUACGUAGAGAGUACUAUAAAAUUACACUGUAUUGGAUACCAUCUGGUGAUUUCUUAGUUAAAAAUAUUAACAGUCAAUGGAUCAAUGAAAAUUCUUCUCCUGUCCUGUAUUAUCAGGCUAGAGUAGUUGUGUUGUGAUUGAGAUUUCCAGCUGAGUAACAAUACAUUUAAAUUUAGAAAAUAGCAAGAAAGUAUGUUCUAGUUGUCAGUGAUUUCACAAACCAUUUGGGGUUGAAAUCUUUUGAGGUAAAUUCUGACAGACUCAUGUUGUGGAAACAAUUGUUGAAAUGUCCUAUCAGCUUUGCAAAAUCAUCAUAAUUUUGAAGAAUAUUUAUUAAAUGAAGUUUGUUUUGGAAGUAACCAAAAAACUAGGCAAGGAGUUGCAUGAAGAAGUCUGUAGAGUAAAUGAUGCUGGUACUGUCCACCCCUUGAGCAAAAUAUGUCAGGCUCAAGCGGAUAAAAUGAUCUAACCUUAGAACAGAUUGAGAGUAAUUCUUCAUGGAUGGUGAACAGAACCAGCACAGAUUCUUCCAAGUAUAAAAUUUUAUUGUGACUACACAGAUGAAAUUGCUGCAUAUGAUGGGAUUCUUUACAAGGACACUACUUCAAAGUAUCAUAUAACACAAAUUGCUUUGCUGAAAAAUGCUAAGUGCAAGCAGCAGUGACUAUAAAUUGAGAGCAAUUUGAAAUGUUUUAUGAUGUCCAGGCACGAUGUUGGAUCUCGAAGUAGAAUCUGUUGUACCCAGGAAGUAAAAUGCAAACCCAGAGAAGCCCAUGAGAUUUCCUAUUGAACUGGGACCAAAUCCGCCACAGAGUUUAAACAGGAAAUGUUAUACAGACAAUUGAAACAGCUCCAAUUUUUAAACAUGUAAGACUUAAUAGUUGUCACUAAAAAGGAGCAAUACUAAACACAGGGAAAAAAUUUUGUAUACUAUGAAAUUCCAGAUGAAUUAUAUAGUACAUAACAGCUCACUGUUUAGCAAGGAUUCAUUUCAAAAGGUCUCUUUGGUAUGUCAUUCAGGUAUUCCUGGUUAACCGCUUACUCUGUAUAGACAAAUGAACUAAAACAGACUAAAUACAACACUUGAAAAUAACUUAAAUUAGUGAAGUCAACUGGCAGCUUUUAUGCAAUAGAAUUUCUUAGAUGACUUUAUCUAAUUUGUCAGGCUUCACUGCAGUUGCCCAUUCAUAAAAGCAUGCAUUUUAGAGCUACAGUGAACAAAUACCAGUCUAGUCCAAAUUCUAUACCUGGAACAUUUUAUUUCAUCCAACCAUUUGUAGUGAUAAUAUGUCUCAGUUGAAAAAUGUAAAAUGGUGGUGAAGUCACGACAUUCCAUGAUUUUUUUUUGCAUUAGUCAACUCAUCUUAAAAAUGUGUUUUUAUCUAUUCUUGCAAUUAUGUUCUGUCUAAACAGAUGGUGUCACUUUAAAAUAGGUGAUUAUCUUCUUGUAUCAGUGUGACCGACCAGUACUUCUAUUAACUUUACAUGUCUUUGAAAAUAAAUAGAUGGAUCUCCUUGUAUCCCAUGUUCUAUGAUAACCAAGUUAGACAAUAAAACAUAAUUGGUAGUUAAACUAUUGUUGAUGAGUCUCUGUCUCAACACUUCUCUGCCUGAAAUCUCCCAGAGCUUCAUUCCUGUAGGAAAUGAGAACAAGCUCAUUGACCCCUUUAUUCUUUGACUGAAGAAGUCUUAAUGCCGUAUUUUCUAUGGUGCAUAUAUACUUCCUUCACUGUUUGUCUUCAGUAAAAAGAGAAUAAAUAGCUUAUAGUUCGUAUGU